rnacentral:lncRNA from 1 species
CCUGAAACAGCCAGAGCGAGAAGAUGAUGCAUGUGAGCCCUGCCCUUGGGAAGCUUCCAGGUUGGGAAAUGAGGAAUGAGCCUGACACCCAGGGCCCAGAGAGACCCAGGACAGAGGCAGGUCAGGAGGCAGACACGCGCUGCUGGGUAAUGACGACAGCACCAGUAAUCACGGCUACUCCUUGUUAAGUACUUACUAAGUGCAAGACUCCAAGCUAAGCAAUUAAUAGACCUUUUCUUGUUUAAUCCUUACCACAAUUCCAUAGGCAUCUCACAGAGAAGAUACUUGGAUGGGCCACAGGCCAAAACUGGGCCAAAACCCUGGAGAGGGGGACCUGGCUCAAGGCCACACCACAUUUCCAUGUCAUUUUCCAGUGGCACCAACUGAGCUGGACAGAUGUUCUCACAGAGCUACACAUGCCACAGUCAUCACUAGUUGCGAGAGUCUCCAGUGUUCAUUAAGCCUAUUUUGCUGGAAGUUUAGUCCCUGGAGGAUUAGUCCCUGCCCUUAAGGAGUGCCAAAGAAGACUUUGGAAUCUAAGUCACAUCUCCCCUGCUGCAAUUUUUUCCUCUUGAUAAUCAAGGAAUCUCACUGAUAAAACUCUCAAUGAGGAGCAGCUCUCCCCAUGAGCAAGUUCUUGCCUUCAUUGCCAGGGAGGCCCCAGCUAAGGUUAUACUGGGAAAGGAAUCUCUGGGGAGUACCUGGAAGAGGUCAGCUUCUCCUCAAAGGAAGCCUCUCCAGCUGGUGUACUGCAAAGCCUUCCAAGACCAAGUUCCCUCUUCCUGGCCUCUGGAACCAGCCUGUGUGCCAGCGCUGUGUCCCCAGUAACACACAUGAGUCUCUCCCUCAGAAGCCACAGAAGGAUGCAGAGAGAGACCAACCCAGGAUUGAUUCUCAGCACUUACUAAUUGUGUGGACAUAACUGCUCUGGACCUCAGCUUUGCUAUCUAUAAAAUGAGCACCCUUUUUAUAGAUAUGAACACUUUAAGAGAGUCAUAAAGAUUGAAGUUGAUUUGUGCUGCGCCUGGCACAGAGGUCUCCCUCAGUAAAUGGCAGCCACUGCUAUUGGGGUGCCCCAACACCCCUUGCCCCUGCCCACCAUUAGCUUUCACUUAGGCCCACACUGAGGGUGUGGCUGUUGUGUUGGGGGAAGGAAAAAAACCAUGCCUGGGUUGCAGGGCCCCCACCACCAACUGGUCUGCUUUUGUGGGAAGCAUUUUCUGAUGCCCUCGCCCUACCCGUGGGCUGGUUGACUAAGUGUCCAGCAUCAUGAGGAAAAGAGCAGGGUUCAGGGACAGCUUGGCUCAGCCCUGAAACUCAUCUGGGCCUAGGUCCAGAUGAGAGGCAAGCCUGGGAGGCCUUCCGUUGUACCCUUGCCUAUCCUGCAGCACCCUCUAGCCUGCAGGCCGCUCCUGGGUGGCAUAGCACCUUGGAUGUCAGGUGUGGGCCUUCCCAGGCACAUGGCAUGAGGGGGCACUUCUGUGGGUUGUUGGGGGCAGGAAGGGAUGUGUCUCCAGCUGGACUUGGGCUCUCGCAUUUUGGGGCCCAGCCAUGCCAGGACAGCACACAUGGGCGCUUAGUGCGAAUCUCAUGAUGGAGCAGAGGAGGAGCAAAGCAAAACCAGGGAGUCCCCAGGCCCCUGCUUCUGCCCCGCCCAGAGACAGUGGAGCAGGUGUCUCCAGCUUCUUAACCUCAACGCACAGUAAGAAAUACAUUUUACAGCAACCAAUAGACACAUACAUUUACAAAACGAUACUCUGUAAUGCACUGGGCUGGUUUUCUCUCCUCACGCCCCUCUAGUGAGUCACAGAUGAGUCCCGCUAUAAGUAAUGUAAGCAAGCCACAGUCCCUGGCUGGCAAGUGAGGGAGUGCCCCACCAGGACAGGGACACUGAGGCAGCAAUGAAAACAGCCAAUGCAACCACUCCUUCCUUUUUCCCCCGCUCAGACCCUCAUGGGUGAGGAGAGAAGCUGCCAAGCCGAGGACUCCAUGAGAAAGAUGCCGGAGCUGCCCCACUCCGCAGCAGGCGCUUCCCCUGGAUUCUCACUAUCCUCACGACAGCCAUGAGCACCAGCAAUUAUCUGUUCCAUUUUGGAGAGGAGGCAAUGCAGGUUCAGAGGCUUUAAAAAGAUUUACUAUGUGCUUGCUGUGUGCCGGCAACGUUUAUAUGGUUUAUAUAAUGCUGAAUGGUUUAUAUAAUGCUCAGCGCUUACCUAUUCCCCAGAGCAGCCCUAGGGAGCAGGUACCGCUGCAUCUGCAUUGGCAGAGGAGACCGCGGCUCCCCCAACCCCCGGCUCAAGGUCUCACAGCUAGUUGCAGGCCUGCAUCUCUCAACCCAGA